UUUAGUUCUGAUGAUUAGAGUCCACUACAAGAUGAUCCCCAACCCUUAUAAACUACAGAGGAAUUCUUCACACUAUCUCGUACUGUACUGCUUAGAUUUAAUCUAAAAGCGUUUACAAUGGCAUUGGGAUUUUCAAGCUGACGACUGGAUAUAUGCUUUGGGAUGUCAUCAUAAGAUCAUUCAACUGUAGUCCAGCUAGAGAAAUUGAACCAUCUGCAAAACAGCAUUUUAUGUCAGAGGUUUAUCUAACAAUGAGAAUGCACCAUCAAGAAAACUCUGCACACAUUGAUGGACUGAUGAGGUUCUUACUAAAGCAAGGCAUUUUGCUUCACGUAUCUCAGGUAGUUUCUCAUUAUUUGACCUUUGUAAUCUUUUGGAGGGGCUUGAUUAUUCGCUUGCUUGCUAGUUUGCGCAACUAUAACUUUGGCACAUACAUUAUUUUCUUAAUGACUUAAUCUUUUCGAGGUAUAAAGAGAAGUUAAUUAAGAGUAGACGUGUCCCUGAAUUCCAUUCCAUGGAAACACUGGGGAUGACCCUAAAUGGCUUGUAAACAUUGAACAGGUAAACUCCUGACAUAUGUAAAACUUGAAGAUUAGCAGUUAGUUCAAAGCUCCAUAUAUAUUGCUU